CAGAGCCCUAGUUAUGUGGCAGGCGUGAUCAUAGGAUACAAAGACACGUCAGGCAUAGUCCUCCUCUCCAGGAGCUCCCAGUCUAGUGAGACAGAA
rnacentral:miRNA from 1 species